rnacentral:rRNA from 1 species
AUUGAACGCUGGCGGCAUGCCUUACACAUGCAAGUCGAACGGCAGCACGGGUGCUUGCACCUGGUGGCGAGUGGCGAACGGGUGAGUAAUACAUCGGAACGUACCUUAUCGUGGGGGAUAACGCAGCGAAAGCUGUGCUAAUACCGCAUACGCCCUGAGGGGGAAAGCGGGGGAUCGCAAGACCUCGCGCGAUUAGAGCGGCCGAUGCCUGAUUAGCUUGUUGGUGGGGUAAAAGCCCACCAAGGCGACGAUCAGUAGCUGGUCUGAGAGGACGAUCCGCCACACUGGGACUGGGACACGGCCCAGACUCCUACGGGAGGCAGCAGUGGGGAAUUUUGGACAAUGGGGGCAACCCUGAUCCAGCAAUGCCGUGUGAGUGAAGAAGGCCUUCGGGUUGUAAAGCUCUUUUGUCAGGGAAGAAACACCGGCUCUAACACAGUCCGGGAAUGACGGUACCUGAAGAAUAAGCACCGGCUAACUACGUGCCAGCCGCCGCAGUAA